GAUGAACGCUGGCGGCGUGCCUAAUACAUGCAAGUCGAGCGAACAGAUGAGGAGCUUGCUCCUCUGACGUUAGCGGCGGACGGGUGAGUAACACGUGGAUAACCUACCUAUAAGACUGGGAUAACUUCGGCAAACCGGAGCUAAUACCGGAUAAUAUAUUGAACCGCAUGGUUCAAUAGUGAAAGACGGUUUUGCUGUCACUUAUAGAUGGAUCCGCGCCGCAUUAGCUAGUUGGUAAGGUAACGGCUUACCAAGGCAACGAUGCGUAGCCGACCUGAGAGGGUGAUCGGCCACACUGGAACUGAGACACGGUCCAGACUCCUACGGGAGGCAGCAAUAGGGAAUCUUCCGCAAUGGGCGAAAGCCUGACGGAGCAACGCCGCGUGAGUGAUGAAGGUCUUCGGAUCGUAAAACUCUGUUAUUAGGGAAGAACAAAUGUGUAAGUAACUAUGCACGUCUUGACGGUACCUAAUCAGAAAGCCACGGCUAACUACGUG
rnacentral:rRNA from 1 species